AGUCCACUUAAGCCCUGCUUAGUGUUGGGAACCUACAGAAGCUACCCUGUAGCUACCCUGUAGUUCCUUAAAGACAGCGGCGGAGUUGUAGUACCCUCUGAGCUUAGUAAUUUUUUCUAGCUUUCGAGAUGCUACUGCUUCUGCCGUUAAACACCCUUCUUCUGAAU
rnacentral:misc_RNA from 3 species